AGGCUUGGCCAUACCACCCUGAACACACCCAAUCUCAUCUGAUCUCGGAAGCUAAGCAGGGUCGGGCCUGCUUAGUACUUGGAUGGGAGACAAAAUUU
rnacentral:rRNA from 1 species